GAUGAACGCUGGCGGCGUGCUUAAUACAUGCAAGUCGAACGAACGGACGAGACGCUUUCCUCUCUGAUGUUAGGGGCGGGUAGGUGAGUGGCACGUUGAUCACCUCUCUAUGAUACUCGGGUAAAUUCGGGUCACCGGCGCUAAUACCGGACACUCUUUUGAACCGCAGGGUUCAAACGUUAAAGACGGUCUUGCUGUCACUUGUAGAUGGAUCCGCGCUGCAUUAGCUAGCUGGUAAGGUAACGGCCUACCAAGGCAACGAUGCAUAGGCGACCUGAGAGGGUGAUAGGCCACACGGGAACGGAGACACGCACAAGACGACUACGGGAGGCAGCAGAAGGGAAUCGUCGGCAACGGGCGAAAGUCUUACGCAGCAACGCCGCGUGAGAGAUGACGGCCUUCCGAGCGUAAUACCGUGUUAUGAGGGAUGAACAUAUGUGUAUGGAACUGUGCACAUCUUGACGGUACCUAAACAGAAAGCCACGGCUAACUACGUG
rnacentral:rRNA from 1 species